UUGCACCCUGGUGUUGGGGUGCUGUGGGGGAUGGCAGCCUUAGAUGGGGGCUAGACCAGAUAUCUCUGUGACGUGUCAGGUUUAGACUUGGGCUGGUUCCUCAGCCAAGGUGGGAAGGGGGUCUCUUGCAUCUCCUUAAGCUCCCUGACCACAAUCUAGGUGUUAGCUCACAGUUUCAUUGUUAAUAUUUAUUUAUUUGGCUGCAUCGGGUCUUGGUUGCGGCACGCUGGACCUUCAUUCCAUCAUAUGGGAUUGUUGUGGGGCACGGACUCUUUAGUUAAGGCAUUUGGGCUUAGUCGUCCUGUAGCUUGUGGUAUCUUAGUUCCCUGACCAGGGAUCAAACCCAGGGCCCCGCAUUUCAAGCCAGAUUAUUAACCACUGGACCUCCAGGGAAGCCCGUCACACACAGCUUUUUAAAUGUUUGCAAGUGCUGUUGUGGUGAACGAACUGCAAAUUAAUGCACGAGUUUUGCAUGCAUGGCAGAUGUGUCUCUCUCUUCUCAAACACCAGACACUGGAAAGCCAGUUGCUGCAGUGGAAGGGCUGGUGGGCUGUGGGUUUUUGAUGGUGGGUUAGUCUCAUAUAAGGGUUCUCAAAGCUCUGCCCUAAGUGUUCCGAUGGCUGACCUGAACCUUCCGGGACUGGCAGUCAUCCCCUGCACUGGCUCCAUUGGGGCUUCUCAGGGUAAGAGGCCCAUUGGAAAAGGAGACAGCUGGCUUGGGGAGGGUGAUGGAGGUGGCAAUGAAGCUUCCCUCUUCUCAGCCUGGGCCCCCAGCUGAGCUCCAUUAACAGAGACACUUCUGGAGGGUCUAAUGUGUGUGCUCCCCAUCCCCUGAUAUCUGCCCUGCCCUGGAGGUCUCUCUCUUCUGGGAGCCAGACUUCUGCUUUCUCAGCUCUCCUGGGAAGGUGGCAUGGGGGAAGGGCGGGGGCUGGAAGCCUUUUGGACCAGAACAAGGACAACUUCCUCUGAAGAUUAUCAGGGGAGGUGAGAUGCCCGAAGAGGCACCCCCUUGUGUGGAAACAGAACCCUUCAUUGCCACUGAUGAACCCCCAAGUCUGAGGUGUCUUUUAUGAAACCAAAGGUAUCUUGGUGGGUUUAAACACAAGUUACAGGAACCCCAUUACUGGGAGCGAAACAGGAACCUUCAUCAUAUCACUAUUUUGACCCCACAGUUGGCAAACACAUUCACAGACUCAGGAGGAUCUUCGUAGAGGCAAUGAAGGGCAGUGCGGAAGCUGUUAGGGAUCCCAGCUUGACUGUUCCCUGGCUGACGCAGGUUCGGUGGAAAUGAUGGCAACUGCCAUGCGGUGGAUCCAUAUCCCAGCCCCUGCAAGGGCUGCUCUACCUGUGCGACGGCCAGCCCCGCAGCUGGGUUUGGCUACCCGGCCCCAAGGCUGAUUAGUCCGGAGACACACGUGACUUCAGCGGGCCAAUCAGCUGUGUCCUCCCCGAUACCACCCCUCCCUGUUGGGGAGUGCGAACUUGGGUUCCGAGGACACCGGUCCGUCUUUGUAAGGCACCUCCGGAUUUCUGCUGUUCACAUCCAGAGCGGUUUUGAUCACCAGUGGACCCCAGGAGCUUUCAGUGUCUCAUUCAGUCUGUGCAGGAGACCUGGGUUCAAUCACUGAUCCGGGAAGAUCCCGUGUGCCGCGGAGCAACUAGGCCAGUGCGCCACAACUAUCGAGCCUGUUUUCUCGAGCCUGGGAGCCGCAAGACCGUGGGCCACAACUGUUGAAGGCCCGCAUGUCAGAGCCCCUGCUCAUCAACAAGAGACACCACUGCAAUGAAAAGCCUGUACACUGCAACUGGAGUUUGCCAACCGUACACUAUCCCCUCUUGCUGCAACUAGAGGAAAGCCUGCAAGGCAAUGAAGACCCAGCACAGCCAUAAGUUCUAUAUAUAAAACAUGGGAAUCCAGAUGUGCAGCUCAUUUUGUGUCACCUGUCCCCUGAGAGCUUGGCACAAAGAGCUGAGCUUCUGGAGGGAGGCUUAUUAGUCUGACCCCAGCUCUCCUUUACUAGUUCUCGGAAUUGGCCAAGUCUUAGCUCCCACACCUAUAAAAUGGAAUCUAACCUCCAUCUGAGGUUGUGGAAAGGAUUAGAAAUAAAGGUGUAAAGUAUUUUGCAUAGUGUCUUGUGCAGAGCAGCCAUUUAAUAACUGACAAUUAUUAGUUUCUUAAAGGGUAAAUAAAUUCAGAAGAAAUUUGAGUUGAGACCCAGUUAAGUUACACCAACAAUUUUAUUGACAAGCGCAUUAAGUUUGGGGAAUAUUUCUAGCUCCCCUCCCCAAG
ensembl:lncRNA